rnacentral:rRNA from 1 species
CAAAAUCCCUAAAAAGACCAUCUCAGUUCGGAUUGCAGGCUGCAACUCGCCUGCAUGAAGCUGGAAUUGCUAGUAAUCGCGGAUCAGCAAGCCGCGGUGAAUACGUUCCCGGGCCUUGUACACACCGCCCGUCACACCAUGAGAGUCGGGAACACCCGAAGUCCGUAGUCUAACCGCAAGGGGGGGCGCGGCCGAAGGUGGGGUCCGGUAAUUGGGGUGAAGUCGUAACAAGGUAGC